UGAAAUGUAAACUCUUCUACAUGUUGUACUCUGAUAAAUUCUUUAAAUAUGUCGUUUGGGUAGAAGGGUGUUACAGUUUGUAAGCCAUGAAACCAAUCACCAUACGCCACCUCAUUUAGUUAAACGCAGCGCUUCAUGAAGCGCGCGCUGGUUUUAAAUUGAAGCACGGAUCGAUUCCGCUUGAGUGCACUUUUCACCUUUGGCUUGGCAUUUAUUUCACUUAUGUUCAUCAUGUUUCACCAUGCCUAGUUCUUG
rnacentral:lncRNA from 1 species